CCUACGGGUGGCAGCAGUGAGGAAUAUUGGUCAAUGGACGCGAGCCUGAACCAGCCAAGUCGCGUGCAGGAUGACGGCCCUAUGGGUUGUAAACUUCUUUUAUGCGGGGAUAAACUGAGUCACGCGUACCUGUUUGCAUGUACCGCAUGAAUAAGGACCGGCUAAUUCCGUGCCAGCAGCCGCGGUAAUACGGAGGGUUCGGGGGUUAUCCGGAUUUAUUGGGUUUAAAGGGUGCGUAGGCGGCCGUUUAAGUGAGUGGUGAAAUUCUGCGGCUCAACCGUGGAACUGCCGGGGAAACUGGGGGGCUUGAGUGGGCUGGAGGUAGGCGGAAUGCGUGGUGUAGCGGUGAAAUGCAUAGAUAUCACGCAGAACUCCGAUUGCGAAGGCAGCCUACCGAGGCAUGACUGACGCUGAGGCACGAAAGCGUGGGGAUCGAACAGGAUUAGAUACCCGUGUAGUC
rnacentral:rRNA from 1 species